CCAUCCUGCUCCCACAGUACCACAUCCCAUGUUGUUCUAGGACCCGCCACCCUUUGGAGUGGCUUCUGGGAGAAGUUCAAAGGCAGGAAAGAAAUGUCAAUUCCUGCUUUACCUGAGAAGCCAUGAAGGGAUAACACGCACCUCUGCCUUUCUUUGUUUGGAUUUGCAGCCAGAGAAUGGGAGAUGAAGAAGCCAACAAACAAACAAAAUAAUCCAUGCUGGGAAAGUUAUUUUUAAAAACGAACACAAGGAUCCCAAGAUUGAGAAGAGAACCUGAAUGUUCUUGACUGAGUCAUGGCCUCCAGGACCACUGAUCAAGGCCACAGAUCAUUCAGCCUUGCAUGACCAUGGAAAGAGAUGUGGGAACAGAGCUGGUUCAAGAUGAAGCUGGUACCUUAAAAGCCAGUUCUUCACACAGUGACUCUCACAGUUUCCUCUGGUAGUUUCAGGGAGGUUAAUGGGCAGGUGAAGCUCACAAUGGGUGUAUGAAAGUGUGAGAGAGAGGGACAUGAGGAAACAAGGAAGGCAGUUAAUUUGGUCGUUGGGUCAAAAAAGAUGCCCUACUGUGAUCUUGGUGGCCACCGUGAGCUUUAGAAACUAUGUCUGCAUGUGAAAGCUGAACACUGAAGAAAAGUGAAAGGAAGAAAAUGGAUGCAUUCAAAACACAGUGGUAGAGGAGAGCUUUGUGAACCUGGACCUAUAGAAAGACAAAUGUAAGAGUCCUAGAUAAGAUCUGUCUACUUUGGGUACAUCACGAGAAGGCAAGACUCACUGGUGAAGACAGUCAUGCUAGGGAAAGCUGAAGAAAGAAGAAGAAAAGUCAAAAUAAGAAAUUGAUUGAUUCCAUAAAGGAAGCCCAAGCCUUGAAUUUUGAACAGCUAAGCAAGGAUGCCAUGGAUAGGACAUUCUGGAGGGCUUUCAGUCAUAAGGUUGCCAUAAGUUGGAGACAACUGGACAGCAAACAACAGCAAUAGUGGCUACUAACAAUGCCUGAGAAAUUAGGACUUUGUGAAUUAUGAUCUUAACUUGGGUUCAGUUGGUGUCCCCUGGACUAAUGGGCAGAGGUGAAAUUAAGAGGAGUUUUGAGCUGCGUAAUCUACCACUUCAAAGCCCUGUUGGCUGUCCUAUGACCACAGAGCAUCCUGAGAAUUUACCAGUGGCCUUUGGGGUUGAUGGAUCAUCCUAUAAGAAGAACUUCUCUCUGCCUCAUCCUAAUCUGCCUCAGAAAAAAAGGACAGAUUUAUGACUACAUGUAUGAACUUCCUCAAUGUGUAUGUGAAAAUGGUGAAAAAUGGCUUUGAGUAUACCAUAUAUCACCUGUAGGCUGUUUGGAUAAAUUCCCAGCCUCCUUCACCCUGCAGUUUUUUCUUAUUAAAAGACUUUAAAACUAUUCCAGCACAGAAACACCAUGAGACAAUAAUUACUCUGCUCAGGCAGGAAAUGUGACAACUGUUAGUGUGAG